UCCACUGUUCCCCUGGAGAACAGUGACUCAUCUCAGCGCAGAACUGUCCGCAGGCUCUGGGGGAGGUUCCCGGUAACAGGGGCCACCUGGGGUUCUCAGGAUGUGCCUGGGCAGCCGGGCCGCUCCUGGCUGGGCAAAGAGGAAAGGAAGACCCGAGCUCUCCUUCAGAGCAGAGGACUCUUCACACAGUGCUCGGCCGAGGGCAGCUGCCCAGCUCGUGUCCAGAUGUGUCAGAAGACCGGGCAAGAGAUGGGCAAAGAACCAAGCGAGGAAACGGAUCCUCGGGGAGGCUAAGGAACCUGCUCAAGGCCACGCGACUAGCAAAGCUCCAAUCGGAGGAAAGGCGGCUGGCAUUAACCCCACACUGUCUGAGACGGAAUGAGAAUGGAUACCAACAAACCCCAGUUGCCCUUAAGUAGAUUUCUUCCCAGCGAACACGUGACUCCAAGCCCACUCCCCUCGCUCCAGCCACCUCUCCAGCCACCUGCUGACUGGAAGCUUCGGGGAGGUUUGCCCCAGCGAGUGUGAUGGCGAAAACUGCCUGUUCGAGGUCAUGGCUCAGACCUCGUCUCAGAACCCAAAUAUGGACGACGUGUUUGUUAUUUUGUAGUCAUUUAUCGCCUGGGUUCGGUCCCCCGAG